rnacentral:rRNA from 1 species
UGGGGAAUUUUGCACAAUGGAGGAAACUCUGAUGCAGCGACGCCGCGUGAGUGAUGAAGAUCUUCGGAUUGUAAAACUCUGUCCUUAGUGAAGAUAAUGACAGUAACUAAGAAGCAAGCCCUGGCUAAAUACGUGCCAGCAGCCGCGGUAAUACGUAUGGGGCAAGCGUAGUCCGGAAUUAUUGGGCGUAAAGGGUACGUAGGCGGUUUAAUAAGUCCUAAUUAAAAGGCUAUGGCUCAACCAUAGUAUGGUUAGGAAACUGUUGAACUUGAGUAGAUGAGGGGAAAGUGGAAUUCCAUGUGUAGCGGUGAAAUGCGUAGAUAUAUGGAGGAACACCAAUGGCGAAGGCAACUUUCUGGAAUCAAACUGACGCUGAGGUACGAAGGCGUGGGGAGCAAACAGG